GUGGGGAAUAUUGCACAAUGGGCGAAAGCCUGAUGCAGCAACGCCGCGUGAAGGAAGAAGGGUUUCGGCUCGUAAACUUCUAUCAACAGGGACGAAAAAAAUGACGGUACCUGAAUAAGAAGCCCCGGCUAACUACGUGCCAGCAGCCGCGGUAAUACGUAGGGGGCAAGCGUUAUCCGGAAUUACUGGGUGUAAAGGGAGAGUAGGCGGCAUGGUAAGUUAGAUGUGAAAGCCCGAGGCUUAACCUCGGGAUUGCAUUUAAAACUAUCAAGCUAGAGUACAGGAGAGGUAAGUGGAAUUCCUAGUGUAGCGGUGAAAUGCGUAGAUAUUAGGAGGAACACCAGUGGCGAAGGCGGCUUACUGGACGACAACUGACGCUGAGGCUCGAAAGCGUGGGGAGCAAACAGGAUUAGAAACCCUGGUAGUCC
rnacentral:rRNA from 1 species